rnacentral:snoRNA from 1 species
GGUAACACCGAUGAGAGUGUAUCAUUAACCCAGCAUUACCAGUAGUCUAGUUUUGUACAUCUGAGGUCCUAA